rnacentral:tRNA from 1 species
GGGGCCUUAGCUCAGCUGGCAGAGCGCCUGCUUUGCAAGCAGGAAGUCAGGGGUUCGACUCCCCUAGGCUCCA